GACGAACGCUGGCGGCGUGCUUAACACAUGCAAGUCGAACGGAAAGGCCCUGCUCUUGUGGGGUGCUCGAGUGGCGAACGGGUGAGUAACACGUGAGUAACCUGCCCUUGACUUUGGGAUAACUUCAGGAAACUGGGGCUAAUACCGGAUAGGAGCUCCUGCUGCAUGGUGGGGGUUGGAAAGUUUCGGCGGUUGGGGCUGGACUCGCGGCUUAUCAGCUUGUUGGUGGGGUAGUGGCUUACCAAGGCUUUGACGGGUAGCCGGCCUGAGAGGGUGACCGGCCACAUUGGGACUGAGAUACGGCCCAGACUCCUACGGGAGGCAGCAGUGGGGAAUAUUGCACAAUGGGCGGAAGCCUGAUGCAGCAACGCCGCGUGCGGGAUGACGGCCUUCGGGUUGUAAACCGCUGUCGCCUGUGACGAAGCGUGAGUGACGGUAAUGGGUAAAGAAGCACCGGCUAACUACGUG
rnacentral:rRNA from 1 species